rnacentral:rRNA from 1 species
UGGGGAAUAUUGGACAAUGGGCGGAAGCCUGAUCCAGCAACGCCGCGUGAGGGAUGACGGCCUUCGGGUUGUAAACCUCUUCAGUACCGACGAAGCGCAAGUGACGGUAGGUACAGAAGAAGCACCGGCCAACUACGUGCCAGCAGCCGCGGUAAUACGUAGGGUGCGAGCGUUGUCCGGAAUUAUUGGGCGUAAAGGGCUCGUAGGCGGUCUGUCGCGUCGGGAGUGAAAACCAGGUGCUUAACACCUGGCUUGCUUUCGAUACGGGCAGACUAGAGGUAUUCAGGGGAGAACGGAAUUCCUGGUGUAGCGGUGAAAUGCGUAGAGAUGCGGAGGAACACCGAUGGCGAAGGCAGCCCCCUGGGCUGACACUGACGCUCAGGCACGAAAGCGUGGGGAGCAAACAGGAUUAGAUACC